rnacentral:rRNA from 1 species
GACCUCGGAUCAGGUAGGAAUACCCGCUGAACUUAAGCAUAUCAAUAAGCGAGG